rnacentral:rRNA from 1 species
CCUACGGGGGGCAGCAGUGAGGAAUAUUGGUCAAUGGACGAGAGUCUGAACCAGCCAAGUAGCGUGAAGGAUGACUGCCCUAUGGGUUGUAAACUUCUUUUAUAUGGGAAUAAAACGUUCCACGUGUGGGAUUUUGUAUGUACCAUAUGAAUAAGGAUCGGCUAACUCCGUGCCAGCAGCCGCGGUAAUACGGAGGAUCCGAGCGUUAUCCGGAUUUAUUGGGUAUAAAGGGAGCGUAGGUGGAUUGUUAAGUCAGUUGUGAAAGUUUGCGGCUCAACCGUAAAAUUGCAGUUGAAACUGGCAGUCUUGAGUACAGUAGAGGUGGGCGGAAUUCGUGGUGUAGCGGUGAAAUGCUUAGAUAUCACGAAGAACUCCGAUUGCGAAGGCAGUUCACUGGACUGCAACUGACACUGAGGCUCGAAAGUGUGGGUAUCAAACAGGAUUAGAUACCCGUGUAGUC